rnacentral:misc_RNA from 1 species
UAAAUAAUAUACGUUAGCUCCCUUACCUUCCUUGCUCUUUCUUACCUUUGCAUUGUUUACCCUUCCCCCGCCUCAUCCAAGCAGACCCUUACUCCUUCCGCUUCCCCUUACAGAUAGUAAGUGAUCUGAGCCACGUCUCACUUGUCUUCCUCGCAAUUAGCUGUACCAUCUUCAGCUGAAAUUCCCGCUUCAUUAUUCUCAGUCUCCGUCCAAGUUUCAGACUUUCUCACUCCGUAAGAAGAAGAAGGAAAGGAAAAAUAGAAAUCCCAGAUUACCCCAUUUGCUUCUAACUAAUCCUUAUUUCUAAUGAUAAUUUGAUCAGAUCCAAAAUGGGACACCUUAAUCUGCCUGCAUCAAAGCGAAACCCUAGGCAAUGGAAGCUGCUCGACCUCGUUUCUGCUGCAUUCUUCGGCUUAGUCUUUCUUUUCUUCCUUCUCGUCUUUACUCCUCUCGGUGAUUCUCUCGCCGCCUCUGGCCGCCAGGCUCUCCUUCUUUCUACAUCGGAUCCGCGUCAGCGCCUCCGCCUCGUCGAGCUCAUUGAGGCCGGCCGACAUCCUCAGCAGAUCGAGGCGUGCUCUGAACACUCUGUUGAUCAUAUGCCGUGUGAAGAUCCCAGACGCAAUAGCCAGCUCAGUAGAGAAAUGAAUUACUAUCGAGAGCGUCACUGUCCACUUCCAGAUGAGACCCCUCUCUGCUUGAUCCCGCCCCCCAAUGGAUACAAGAUUCCUGUCCAGUGGCCCCAGAGUUUGCAUAAGAUAUGGCAUGCCAACAUGCCACACAACAAAAUUGCGGACAGGAAGGGUCACCAGGGAUGGAUGAAAGAGGAAGGUGAAUACUUCGUUUUCCCUGGCGGUGGUACAAUGUUUCCUGAGGGAGCAAUACCAUACAUUGAAAAACUUGGACAGUAUAUCCCUAUAAGUGGUGGAAUUUUAAGGACUGCCCUUGACAUGGGAUGCGGGGUUGCUAGUUUUGGAGGAUAUAUGCUAAAGGAAGGAAUUUUAACCCUCUCAUUUGCACCUAGAGAUUCACACAAAGCACAAAUACAAUUUGCACUGGAAAGAGGAAUUCCAGCAUUUGUUGCCAUGCUUGGCACUCGCAGACUCCCAUUUCCUGCUUUCUCAUUUGACUUGGUCCAC